rnacentral:rRNA from 1 species
GAUGAACGCUAGCGGCAGGCCUAAUACAUGCAAGUCGAACGGAUAUAUGUUUUUCGGAAUAUAUAUUAGUGGCGCACGGGUGAGUAACACGUACAUAACUUGCCCUCAAGCGGGGGAUAGCCUUGGGAAACUGAGAGUAAUACCCCAUAGAAUUAUUGGACGGCAUCGUUUGAUAAUUAAAACUACGGUGUUUGGGGAUAGAUGUGCGUCUGAUUAGCUAGUUGGUGAGGUAACUGCUCACCAAGGCGACGAUCAGUAGGGGGCGUGAGAGCGUGGCCCCCCACACGGGUACUGAGACACGGACCCGACUCCUACGGGAGGCAGCAGUAAGGAAUAUUGGUCAAUGGAGGGAACUCUGAACCAGCCAUGCCGCGUGAAGGAUGACGGCCCUCUGGGUUGUAAACUUCUUUUGGAUGGGGCGAAAAAACGGGNUUUAUCCUGGACUGACGGUACCAUCAGAAUAAGCACCGGCUAACUCCGUGCCAGCAGCCGC